GAGUUUGAUCGUGGCUCAGAUUGAACGCUGGCGGCAGGCCUAACACAUGCAAGUCGAGCGGUAGAGAGAAGCUUGCUUCUCUUGAGAGCGGCGGACGGGUGAGUAAUGCCUAGGAAUCUGCCUGGUAGUGGGGGAUAACGCUCGGAAACGGACGCUAAUACCGCAUACGUCCUACGGGAGAAAGCAGGGGACCUUCGGGCCUUGCGCUGUCAGAUGAGCCUAGGUCGGAUUAGCUAGUUGGUGAGGUAAUGGCUCACCAAGGCGACGAUCCGUAACUGGUCUGAGAGGAUGAUCAGUCACACUGGAACUGAGACACGGUCCAGACUCCUACGGGAGGCAGCAGUGGGGAAUAUUGGACAAUGGGCGAAAGCCUGAUCCAGCCAUGCCGCGUGUGUGAAGAAGGUCUUCGGAUUGUAAAGCACUUUAAGUUGGGAGGAAGGGCAGUAAAUUAAUACUUUGCUGUUUUGACGUUACCGACAGAAUAAGCACCGGCUAACUCUGUGCCAGCA
rnacentral:rRNA from 1 species